rnacentral:rRNA from 1 species
GAUGAACGCUAGCGGCAGGCUUAAUACAUGCAAGUCGAGGGACAGCACAGGUAGCAAUACUGGGUGGUAACCGGCAAACGGGUGCGGAACACCUACACAACCUUCCUUUAAGUGGGGGAUAGCCCAGAGAAAUUUGGAUUAAUACCCCGUAAUAUAGUUGAAUGGCAUCAUUUGAUUAUUAUAGCUACGGCGCUUAAUGAUGGGUGUGCGGCUGAUUAGAUAGUUGGCGGGGUAACGGCCCACCAAGUCUACGAUCAGUAGCUGAUGUGAGAGCAUGAUCAGCCACACGGGCACUGAGACACGGGCCCGACUCCUACGGGAGGCAGCAGUAAGGAAUAUUGGUCAAUGGACGCAAGUCUGAACCAGCCAUGCCGCGUGAAGGAUUAAGGUCCUCUGGAUUGCAAACUUCUUUUAUUUGGGACGAAAAAGGGCCUUUCUAGGUCAACUGACGGUACCAGAUGAAUAAGCACCGGCUAACUCCGUGCCAGCCGCCGCGGUAACAC